rnacentral:rRNA from 1 species
AUACGGAGGGUCCGAGCGUUAUCCGGAAUCAUUGGGUUUAAAGGGUCCGUAGGCGGGAAUCUAAGUCAGUGGUGAAAUCUUGCAGCUCACCUGUAAAAUUGCCAUUGAUACUGGAUUUCUUGAAUUAGUGUGAAGUGGUUAGAAUGUGUAGUGUAGCGGUGAAAUGCAUAGAUAUUACACAGAAUACCAAUUGCGAAGGCAGAUCACUAACACUAUAUUGACGCUGAGGGACGAAAGCGUGGGGAGCGAACAGGAUUAGAAACCCCGGUAGUCC